rnacentral:rRNA from 1 species
UGGGGAAUUUUGCACAAUGGGGGAAACCCUGAUGCAGCGACGCCGCGUGAUUUAGAAGGCCUUCGGGUUGUAAAAAUCUUUUUUACGGGAUGAAAAUGACAGUACCGUAAGAAUAAGGUCCGGCUAAAUACGUGCCAGCAGCCGCGGUAAUACGUAUGGACCGAGCGUUGUCCGGAAUCAUUGGGCGUAAAGGGUCCGUAGGCGGCCUAGUAAGUUAGAAGUGAAAGAAUAUAGCUCAACUAUAUAAGGCGGUUAAAACUGCUAUGCUUGAGAGAUGGAAGGGAAAGUGGAAUUCCUAGUGUAGCGGUGAAAUGCGCAGAUAUUAGGAAGAAUACCGGUGGCGAAGGCGACGUUCUGGUCAGCAUCUGACGCUGAGGUACGAAAGCGUGGGUAGCAAACAGG